UUGAUAAUAAUCAAAAGCCUUAGGUAUAAACGGGAUUGCAGAAUGAUAUUCAGUGUAAUAAUCAGCUAUGUCAUAAGGCUUUAAGCCUUCAUGUCUCCUUUCUAUAGGAUUCAAAAUAUAGUAACUGAUAGGAAUGUAGGGGUAGUUUACCUCCUUAUCACUUACAGGUUUAAUGCUUAUUUUAUAAUAAGCAUCAUCUC
rnacentral:lncRNA from 1 species